UUCUUACCAUUUAAUGAGAGAAAAUAAUUCCUUCAACAGUCUCAAACAAUGUGAAUAAUAAAGUAUUUUAAUUAAUAAACAACUAAUAAUGUGAAAUUAUAAAUUUUUAAUAAAAAAAAAGUUGAUUAAAUGAGUCCAUAACGGAAAAAAAAUGUAAAGACCUAGGAAUUAAACUCCCAUUUUUUUUCUUUCUAAAUAACACAAUCACCACUAGACUACUUUAUAUUACAUGAAUUUAUUUGCAACUAAAUUUAUAUAUUAUUUAAUAUUAUAUUUAUAUUAGCCUCAAAUAUCAAAUUUGAGGCCCUCUGCGAUAGCACUCCUUCACACCCACAGGGCCGGUCCUGCGUGAGACGGCGAUAAAUGUCCAAAUAAAGGCAAUGAAGAAGAGACAAAUUGAGAUAGAGGAAAUAAUGUGACAAAUGCUCUCACAAAAAGAGAACCAAAUAAAUAAUUCAAUGAGGAUGAUGUGGAUGUGAUGAUGAUGUGGAUAAAGUUAUGAAUGAUGAAGAGGAUGAUGAUGUUGAUGAAUAUUUUUACUGUUAUUUUACUUGUAAAUAUUAGUUUUUUUAAAAAAACUUGUAAUUAUUUUGAAUUUAAUUAUUUUUAAUUGAAAUUCACGUGAUAAAUCUAAUAUUUGUGUCAUGAAAUUCAUAUUGAAAGAUUAUAGUCAUAUGACAAAUCUAAUUAUUUUGAAUUUAAUAAAAAUAUUAAAUUGUUUGAAGAAAAAUAUUUCUUUUAUUAUUUAUCUUUCUAAUUUUAUUAAUUUAUUUAAGUAAUCAAAUAUAUUUUUAAAAUUUUAUAAAAUUUAACAUAAUAAUAUUAUACUCCCAAAAUAAUUGUCGCAUCUUAUAAAAUUAUUUAUCUUAAAAUAAGUGUCAUUUUUAGUUUUCAGUAGAAUUUUAUUAGUUAUCUUCCAAUUAUACCCUUUAAUUAAUACUCUUAAUUUAUUAUUCUUUUGUUUAUGAUAAUUCAAGCACAUCAAUGAACAAAUAAUUUGAUAAAUUUAAUUUAUUUAUUUAUUACAUUUUUUUAAUAGGCAUGGAAUAACCAAUUAUAAUAAUUAUUAAAAUUUACUGCUUAACCACAGCUAUUUAGCCUAGGUUAAGAGACUGUAACGUUUUUUUUGGUAGUGUAAACUGAAAUUAAGAAAUAAAAGAGCAAUAUAAACAAUAUUAAUUGCUGCUUCAUUUGAUCUCAUCGUCAUCACUUCUUAAUAAAAUUCAAUAAUUGGAUGUCUGCAAACUAGCUCACAAAAUAUUUAAUCAUAAGCAAUAUUUCUUAAAUCUUUUGCUUGUGAAUCUCUCGUUCUUCCUUGAAAAGUGUUUUAACCAUAUAAAAUAACACAUUCACAUUGAUGGCGAAUACACCAAGGAAUCCGAGGAACAACACACAUUUUUUUUGAACAAUCGAAAUCAUUGAUACAUUCAACAAGUGCUAUAAUAAAUAAAGAUAAUAUAAUAGUAUUAGUUAAAGGAGGAAAAAAAGUGUGUACUAAGUAAAUAAGAAAAUAUUAUAUAGAAAAAUGGUUUACCAUGAAUAUUCGUCACAACAAGAAACAUUGAUAGAAAGAGAAUUAUAACAACAACAAACUCCAUUGCUUUAACCAUAUCUUCCUCUUUACAAAUACAAAAAUGAUUUCAUCACUUUAUAAAGUAUAAACAUAAAGCUAUCUUAAAUAAGUUAAAUCGAUUUUAAAACUUAUGAAAGGGUAAAAAGA
rnacentral:lncRNA from 1 species